AUGCCUUAAACUUGUGAGUAAGGAAAAUAACAAUUCAGGGUGACACCCAGAUCCUCACUGCUACUAUGAGACAAAGUUUUGAGCGAGUAAAGAUUGCCUCUAAGGUGGCCCGCCUACUUUGAGGGAUGCCUGGGAGUAGCAAUCUGCCUG
rnacentral:snRNA from 1 species